UAAAGGGUUAAUGGGGUGGGAGUGAUGGGAUCAACGGGAAAUCCUGUUUGUGUCCUCAACCCGCAGCUGCCCGCCAGGUCACGGUGAGAGCCGAGGGGAAAUUAUGGGGUGGGAGCGAUGGGAAAUCCUAUUUGUGUCCUAAAUCUGUAGCUGGCAGCCAGGUCACGGUGAGUGCUAAAGGGUUAAUUAUGGGGUGGGAGUGAUGGGAUCAAUGGAAAAUCCUAUUUGUGCCCUAAAUCUGCAGCUGCCUGCAAGGUAAUGGUGAGUGCUCAGGAGUUAAUGGGGUGGGAUCAAUGGGAUCAAUGGGAUCCAUGGGAAAUCCUGUUUGUGUCCUCAACCUGCAGCUGGCAGCCAAGUCACGGUGAGAGGUGAAGGGAAAUUAUGGGGUGGGAUCAAUGGGAUCCAUGGGAAAUCCUGUUUGUGUCCUAAAUCUGCAGCUGGCAGCCAGGUCGUGGUGAGUGCUAAAGGGUUAAUUAUGGGGUGGGAGUGAUGGGAUCAAUGGGAUCAAUGGGAAAUGCUGUUUGUGUCCUAAAUGUGCAGCUGGCAGCCAGGUCACAGUGAGUCGUAAAGGGUUAAUGGGGUGGGAUCAAUGGGAUCGAUGGGAUCAAUGGGAAAUCCUAUUUGUGUCCUAAAUCUGCAGCUGCCAGCCAGGUCACGGUGAGAGGUGAAGGGAAAUUAUGGGGUGGGAGUGAUGGGAAAUCCUAUUUGUGUCCUAAAUGUGCAGCUGGCAGCCAGGUCACGGUGAGAGCUGAGGGGUUAAUGGGGUGGGAUCAAUGGGAUCGAUGGGAUCCAUGGGAAAUCCUGUUUGUGUCCUAAAUCUGCAGCUGGCAGCCAAGUCACGGUGAGAGCCGAGGGGAAAUUAUGGGGUGGGAGCGAUGGGAAAUCCUAUUUGUGUCCUAAAUGUGCAGCUGCCUGCCAGGUCACGGUGAGAGCUGAGGGGUUAAUGGGGUGGGAUCAGUGGGAUCGAUGGGAAAUCCUAUUUGUGUCCUAAAUCUGCAGUUGUCUGCCAGGUCGCGGUGAGUCCUAAAGGGUUAAUUAUGGGGUGGGAGUGAUGGGAUCAAUGGGAAAUCCUGUUUGUGUCCUAAAUCCACAGCUGCCAGCCAGGUCAUGGUGAGUCCCAAAGGGUUAAUGGGGUGGGAGUGAUGGGAUCAAUGGGAUCAAUGGGAUCAAUGGGAAAUCCUGUUUGCGCCCUCAACCCACAGCUGUCCCCGUGGGUCCCCGCUGAUGUCCCUGUCCCAGGUCCCUGGGGAUACUGGGGGGUCCCUGGUGA